rnacentral:rRNA from 1 species
AGAACGAACGCUGGCGGCAGGCCUAACACAUGCAAGUCGAACGCCCCGCAAGGGGAGUGGCAGACGGGUGAGUAACGCGUGGGAACGUGCCCUUCGGUUCGGAAUAACUCAGGGAAACUUGAGCUAAUACCGGAUACGUCCGUAAGGAGAAAGAUUUAUUGCCGAAGGAUCGGCCCGCGUCGGAUUAGCUAGUUGGUGGGGUAAUGGCCCACCAAGGCGACGAUCCGUAGCUGGUCUGAGAGGAUGAUCAGCCACACUGGGACUGAGACACGGCCCAGACUCCUACGGGAGGCAGCAGUGGGGAAUAUUGGACAAUGGGCGAAAGCCUGAUCCAGCCAUGCCGCGUGAGUGAAGAAGGCCUUAGGGUUGUAAAGCUCUUUUGUGCGGGAAGAUAAUGACGGUACCGCAAGAAUAAGCCCCGGCUAACUUCGUGCCAGCAGCCGC